UGAAUCAAUUAGACUCUUAAACCGGUUAUCUUCUCCCCUUCUAUUUUUCCAUAACCUUCCCCAGAAAACCGUCUAAACUCCACCGACCCAUGCCCUCCUCUCCCUUGGGCUCGCCGACGAGCUCUCGGUGAGAACAAUCCGAUAAUAAGAAAAAAAAUAUUACAUUUUGCUGAAGGAUUUAUAAGUGAAAACUGAAGUUGAUGAAGAAAAGGGUUUUGUUUUAUGCUUCUGGGUUUCUAUCUUCAACUUCUAUUCUGUAUAUCCCGAAACCAUUCUUGAACAGGUGUAUGCAGAGACUAAUAGCAUGUCCCCUUUACUUGUUCUAAACGGAAAGACAUUGAUGCUUUUACCAUUGACUUGCCUACUCAAAGAAGCUCCUAGUCCUGGAAACACUGAUUUACGAUUAACCGCCGAGAUUGAACAAAACCAAAACAAAUAGAUACAUGUCGGAUACGAGGCAUAUCGUUGUCGGAUCUUUUCCUUGGAUGUUGUUUUAUUAGAUAUCUUUGGGCAGCCAGUAAACAAUGAACUAGAGGUCGUGGCAUCACUCUUGUAUGCUUUUAAUCGGUUACCCGUUAAGAAGAUAAAUGGUGAAGAACCUCAUCUUCUAGUUAGUUGUGAUGGAAUUGAAUUUGCCUCUUCUGAUCGACCUGUAAAUUAUCAAAUGGGCGGGCAUCCUUUAAACUGAAGAUCUCCAAGGUGGUAAUAUUAGAUUUAGUUUGUGCUAUACUUUGUUCAAUACGUGUGUUUUUUCGGUAUUUUUAUAAAUUUCUUCGUGGAACUUAUUCCAUGAGAAACUAGUCCGUAGUUUUUCAUUCUUCUAGAGGCCUUUUUUUGAGGAAAAUAAUGUCUUCUGCUGAUGGUAACCGACCCCAUGUAAUAUAACUGCAGCUAAACUACUUCUCAAGCACAGAGGUUACAAUAUUUUGUGUAGCUAGGUUGGUUGAGUUGAAGUCCGGGUAUAAA